rnacentral:lncRNA from 1 species
CAACCUUUCCCGAGAGGGCUGCAGCCCUGGACUGAGAGGCAUCAGGCAGGAAUCCGUCACCAGAUGGCCGGGUCUCGGGGCGUCACAGGCCCCACCCCCCGCCAUGGCGCUGCACACGGGCACUGUGCCCUGUCCACCCUGAGGGACGGCAUUGGGGCCUCCCUGCACCUCCCCAUAAUGGCCUGCUGGCUCCCCUGGCCACAUCUCACUGCCCUCCAGGAGAAGGGUCCCAGCCACCCUGAUGGCAACAGGCCACAUGGGUGACAUCGAGGUCAGGAUGCGCGUGCCCCACCUCUCGGAGCCUCCCUGCAGGUGGCCACGGCUUUCAGCCUGACCCUCACCUCCACCUCACGGGGACCCCAUCCUGACCCCUCAUCCCCACUCUGGGAGUCUGACACUCCCAGCUGUUUCACCGCGGGUCUCACUACAGGACAGUUACUGCACUGCCAGCACCAUCUCCUUGUGCUACUGGCCAUGGGGGUGGACCAGAACCACCGCCAUGCAGGGUCACCCCUGGGUCACAAGCCCCAGCUCCUCCUGACCCCUCAGUGCUCUGAGGACCUCAUCCAAACACAUCCUCACCAGCCUGGGAUUCCAGCACCCCCCUGCCCCAGUCUGAGCUCCCUGAGGGGCUGUCUGGGUCUUCAGAAGAGUGGAAGCACUUUGGCUGCUGGAUGGGCAGAGGGUAUUGGAAAUCGUACCCAGAGCCUUUAUACUGAACUGCAUCCUCGGCCUUUUUAAAAUUUUGAGACAGGGUUGUACUAAAUCACCCAGGCUGGGCUUGAACUUGUGAUCCUCCCGUCUCAGCCUCCCAGAAUGUGGGGAUGACAGACAUGGACCACCACACACAGCUAGAAGUGCUUGUUGAUGUUGUGCACUGUGGGGCAAGAUGACUGACUGGUGGAGGCCUAAGACUGAAGUGAUGCUGCCUACUCUGGAACCUCGAGGGGCAGCAGAGCCAGGGCCUCUGGCCGGCAGAGGGACAUCUGGGGCUGCAGAGUCAGUCUCUGAGGCCCGACAGUGAGGGGCAGAGGGGCCGGCGUUCUGCGGGAAGGCCCAAUAGAGUCAAGCAAGGGCUCUCGGGCCGCCACACCCCGAGCUCCACCAGCCGCUCACAUCCUUCCCUCCAGGAUCGAGGCCAACUCCCUGUCCGCUGGGAUCCACAGUGCUGCAGAGGAAAAGCCAUCGAGCCCAGAGCCACUGCCACUGGGCUCCCUCCACAAUCCCAGAAAGGCAGGCACCACUGCCCUCUUGGUCAGCGAGCAGGCUGUACCCAGAGAGGUUCCAGAACACACCCAGGUCACACAGCCACUGGGCAGCAGGGCCGAGACCUGAGCCAGGCCUGGAGAUCCCCGGUGCUCAGCUGCAAUGGCCCUCAGUGGAGUUUGUCACUGGCACAGCCCAGGGGCACAGGAAAUGCCGCCCACAGUGUUCACCCUGACCAACUGCCAGUGACCCCCAAGCUCUGCACCGGUCGGUGGCCAUGGCCUUGAACCCGGGCUGUCCUGGGCUCAGGCCCUCGGCUGUGCUGUGCGGGGCUACAGCGGGCUUCUCUGGGAAGCGGAGGUGCUGUGGACUUCAGCCCUCUGGCCCUGUCCCUUCCGCCUGUCAGCAGCCACCUCCCGCCCUCCACCACGGCCACCCACGCUGGAAAUCCCCACAGCGAAGUCAGCAGAGCGUGGCCGCCGUGCAGGAUGUCCUCGAGGCCACACCUCCCUCGGACGCACCUGAGGACCAGCAGCUUCCUUGGGCUCCCUCCUUGGCCCCCUGGACCUGAGAACCCGCUCUAACCAGGGACUGGGGCCGCCCAGCCCUCUGGCCUGUCUGUCACCUGUGAGUUGGGGACCAGAAGUCUCCGCAUUCUGAACAGGGGCUGCGAGGCACAGACAGUAACUGUUCGGACGAGUGCUGUCAGGGUUGGCACCCUCUGAGGAGUGCCAGGGCCUGUGCCCUCGCCUCCCGUCCAAAUCGCCCGUUCACGUGCAUGAGUCCCAGAUCCCAGGUGCCACCCUGAUCUCUGCCAUGGGAACCCUGCUGUCCCCUCUGGAGGUAGCCAGGACCUGUGCCGGAGCAGCCCUACCUGGACCAAGGUGCAGCCAACAGAAGACAUGGGUGCACAGAGCCAGGAGAGCGGGCCCUGACAGGCUCUGGCGAGCGCCUGGAUACAGCUGUGCCUGAAGGAGCUCCUCCUGCAGCCAGUAAAACCCUCUCAGUUUAAGUCAGGGGGAUUGCUUCUAACCGGUGUAACCUUAAAGGGGCUUAAAACACGAUUAAUGUGCCUC